AGGAGGAAUGAAGAAGAAGAGGAAGACCCGCUGCCAACUGCAACUGCCGUUGCAAAGGCAAUAGCUCCACAUCUACAUCUUAAGAACAAAACGUCACAGUGCUAUCAAAACAUUGCUUUAUAAGGACGUGUCAACCGUAUAUAAUACCAUUCAUUGAAUUAGUAGUGACUGUGAACUCCUACACUACUGAAUCAAAUAUCCUGCCGUAAACACUCGUGACAAUAUAUAUGGAGGGCUUGAAAUGCUCGCAGGAGAUCCACCAGGGGGUAAUGUGGGUACUCAUACAUGCUCGAGGAGGUCAAAACAGGGUAAUGAGACUGAUCAUGGACAACUUGGAGGACAAAGUCAUGGCUAAAAACUGACAGAAAGGCACGUUGAUAACGUUACCUAAAGGAUACCUUCAUGCAGGUUAACAAAAAUGUUUCAUUCAAGACGCCUGCCUCCUCCGGUAUUGACACGCCUUCGCUGCUACAAGUGGAACAUACAGCCUUCAUGCAGGCCAACCCUAGAGGACCUGCUGGGCAGCGACGCCCUCAGCCUCAACACUGCCUUCCACGCCCUCAAGUGCACGCAAACCUUCCUGCAGAAGUCGGGGCAACUCGACAGGAUCUAACUCCCACCCUGGUGACAGGACGGCCAACACAUCUCUAACAAAAGCUUAGCCUCUGUUGUUUUGCCCAGUCAUGAGUCCCCUCAUACUCCUCCCACGUCUCACUUAGUUGCUUCCUCUGCCUCUAACCUUGAAGUAUGUUCAAAAGAUGGGAACCCUAAAAAAAAACUCACAUAGAACUUCCUUCUCCGCAAAAUCUGAGUAAUUCUUCUGUAAAUAACCUCUUCAUUACUUUUGUUCUUUUGAAUCUCAACUGUUUAAUCAAUAAAGUUAACUUUUUGGCAGAGUUCGUUUCUAGUCACAGUAUUGGGGUAUGUUGUGUUUGUGAAACUUGGUUAACUUGCAAUGUUUCUGAUCCAGUUAUCAGUAUAUUGGGUUAUAAAUUUUUCCGAAAUGACUCUCCCUUAAAUCUAAGAAUUCACGGUGUUGGGAUUUACAUUCGUGAUGAUAUUAAAGUGGGGAAAACUUAUUCAGAUCAUCCGAAUACUGUUGGGGUAUUUUUGCCUGAUUUUGGCGUUACUAUAUUAGCAGUUUACAGGCCCCCAAGUAAUUCUUUGAAAGAUAAUAUUGCUCCUGUUUCAUACCUGGAAUCUUUCUGUGUUGGUAAAGAAUUAAUACAGGUUGGUGACUUUAAUCUCCCUACUGUUGUCUGGUCCACUGAGGUUCCUUAUUGCACUUCCUCUAUUGAUAUUAGAUUUCUAGAUUUGUUUUCAUCUUUGGGUCUCAUGCAGUGGGUUACGCAAAGUACCUAUGUCCGGUCUAAUAAUAUACUUGAUUUGGUCUUUACAUCUGAAGAUGAUAGAAUUUCCCAUGUUGAUAUAAUAGACCCCUUUCCAGGUUGUGACCAUUUUCCAGUUUUGUUUGAGUAUUUAUUUAGUUCUAAUCCAAACAUUAAUAAUGUACAUAACAACUUUGACUUUUAUAAUGGCAACUACACCUUGUUAAACCAUCACAUUUUGAAUUUUGAUUGGGAUAAUGAAUUCCUUGGCUUAGAUAUUGAACAAUCAUAUUUAAGAUUUAAAAGUUUAAUGCUUAAUGCCAUUCAGCUAUUUAUUCCAGUUAAGAAGACAACAGGAGUCAGGAAACCUCCUUGGGCAAAAUCUAUACCUCCUUCUCUAAAACGGCAUAAACGACAAGUAUGGUUGGAGUAUAAGGAUGCUCGGACAAAGUUUGGCAGAUCUUCCCCAAUAGCCUUGAGGUUGUGGCAUUCUUUUAAGACAAUAUCUCUUCAAUAUAAAGAUGCUGUCCAUCAAUCUGUAAUUAAAUAUGAAAGAUCUUUAGUUUCUCCCGGAAAUCCUGAUGUUAAAUGUUUUCACUCCUAUCUUCGUAGCAAGAAGGUUCAGCGUCCUACUAUUGGACCGCUGUCGAGUUGUCGAGUUGUUUCAGAGACCAUUUGGCUUAGAUAAUUUUUUUCUAAAAAUUCGAUCAUUCUAUGUGACUCGCCUUCUGUACCUGACAAUGUCGCCCAGUCGAUAUGGGGGAGGUUAAAGUCUUCUAAUAUCAGUGAGUCGCUGUUAUUAAGUGACUGUCUUAAAAUGCUGUACAUUUCAAGGUCGCCAUUGAGUGAUUG